rnacentral:rRNA from 1 species
CAUAGGUUAAUGAGGCGAACCGGGGGAACUGAAACAUCUAAGUACCCCGAGGAAAAGAAAUCAACCGAGAUUCCCCCAGUAGCGGCGAGCGAACGGGGAGGAGCCCAGAGCCUGAAUCAGUGUGUGUGUUAGUGGAAGCGUCUGGAAAGGCGCGCGAUACAGGGUGACAGCCCCGUACACAAAAAUGCACAUAUUGUGAGCUCGAUGAGUAGGGCGGGACACGUGGUAUCCUGUCUGAAUAUGGGGGGACCAUCCUCCAAGGCUAAAUACUCCUGACUGACCGAUAGUGAACCAGUACCGUGAGGGAAAGGCGAAAAGAACCCCGGCGAGGGGAGUGAAAAAGAACCUGAAACCGUGUACGUACAAGCAGUGGGAGCCUCUUAAUGGGGUGACUGCGUACCUUUUGUAUAAUGGGUCAGCGACUUAUAUUCUGUAGCAAGGUUAACCGAAUAGGGGAGCCGAAGGGAAACCGAGUCUUAACUGGGCGUUAAGUUGCAGGGUAUAGACCCGAAACCCGGUGAUCUAGCCAUGGGCAGGUUGAAGGUUGGGUAACACUAACUGGAGGACCGAACCGACUAAUGUUGAAAAAUUAGCGGAUGACUUGUGGCUGGGGGUGAAAGGCCAAUCAAACCGGGAGAUAGCUGGUUCUCCCCGAAAGCUAUUUAGGUAGCGCCUCGUGAAUUCAUCUCCGGGGGUAGAGCACUGUUUCGGCAAGGGGGUCAUCCCGAC